ACUUCUUUAUAUGCUUUCCUCUAUUCAAUCAACUUUUUAAUCCAAGUGCGCUGUUAUUCUGAACAAUGUCUGGAACGUCCCAUUUUACUCAUAUUUUCAGAAAGAAAUGCACGACAAUCAACAUGUACAACAUCUGUUGCCUUUGUCCUUCAAUAUGGACCUCCUAUAAGGGUGGAA